rnacentral:lncRNA from 1 species
UAGAGGGGACGCCGCUGCGCGUGCCUGAAUGGCCGGAAGCUGGCUGCCGAAUCCCUCCCGCCGCUGGCACCAGCCAGUCUCAGCUCGAGGCGAGGUGAGCACGCUGGCCCUUACCCUAACUCUGCUUGACUUCUUGGUUUAUCAUCAUCUGCCCCUGAACAAAUGCAACCUUCACCCCUGAAAAAUUCUCAGAUUUUGUUCAGUGAUGCAGCUAUAUAUGGGGAUGUGGUGGUCUUCUAUCUGAUUGCUUUGCCUAGUCGCCGGUCGCCACACAUUGGGGAUUGGGGUACUACUGUACAGAGGGCAACUGGGAAUUGAACAUCAAAUGUUUUGCAACUCGUAGAGAAACUAGUGUUACUUAUGCGCCUUUUGAGUUCAUUUUCAUGCUGUUGAAAACAACAAUUAAGCCAUAGGGCUGGAUACUGACGACAAUACGCCGGUUCUAAUUGAAGUUUAACAUAUCGAUGUACAUCAUUUUGAUAGUGAAAGAGAGCUUAUAUUAU